CGUAUCGGAUUAUUGGGCGUAAGCGCGCGUAGGCGGUUUUUUAAGUCUGAUGUGAAAGCCCACGGCUCAACCGUGGAGGGUCAUUGGAAACUGGAAAACUUGAGUGCAGAAGAGGAAAGUGGAAUUCCAUGUGUAGCGGUGAAAUGCGCAGAGAUAUGGAGGAACACCAGUGGCGAAGGCGACUUUCUGGUCUGUAACUGACGCUGAUGUGCGAAAGCGUGGGGAUCAAACAGGAUUAGAUACCCC
rnacentral:rRNA from 1 species